rnacentral:rRNA from 1 species
CAUGGCUCAGAUUGAACGCUGGCGGCAGGCCUAACACAUGCAAGUCGAGCGGUAGAGAGAAGCUUGCUUCUCUUGAGAGCGGCGGACGGGUGAGUAAUGCCUAGGAAUCUGCCUGGUAGUGGGGGAUAACGUUCGGAAACGGACGCUAAUACCGCAUACGUCCUACGGGAGAAAGCAGGGGACCUUCGGGCCUUGCGCUAUCAGAUGAGCCUAGGUCGGAUUAGCUAGUUGGUGAGGUAAUGGCUCACCAAGGCGACGAUCCGUAACUGGUCUGAGAGGAUGAUCAGUCACACUGGAACUGAGACACGGUCCAGACUCCUACGGGAGGCAGCAGUGGGGAAUAUUGGACAAUGGGCGAAAGCCUGAUCCAGCCAUGCCGCGUGUGUGAAGAAGGUCUUCGGAUUGUAAAGCACUUUAAGUUGGGAGGAAGGGUUGUAGA